rnacentral:rRNA from 1 species
ACGCUGGCGGCGUGCCUAAUACAUGCAGGUAGAACGCUGAAGAGAGGAGCUUGCUCUUCUUGGAUGAGUUGCGAACGGGUGAGUAACGCGUAGGUAACCUGCCUUGUAGCGGGGGAUAACUAUUGGAAACGAUAGCUAAUACCGCAUAACAAUGGAUGACACAUGUCAUUUAUUUGAAAGGGGCAAUUGCUCCACUACAAGAUGGACCUGCGUUGUAUUAGCUAGUAGGUGAGGUAACGGCUCACCUAGGCGACGAUACAUAGCCGACCUGAGAGGGUGAUCGGCCACACUGGGACUGAGACACGGCCCAGACUCCUACGGGAGGCAGCAGUAGGGAAUCUUCGGCAAUGGGGGCAACCCUGACCGAGCAACGCCGCGUGAGUGAAGAAGGUUUUCGGAUUGUAAAGCUCUGUUGUAAGCCAAGAACGAGUGUGAGAGUGGAAAGUUCACACUGUGACGGUAGCUUACCAGAAAGGGACGGCUAACUACGUGCCAGCAGCCGCGGUAAUACGUAGGUCCCGAGCGUUGUCCGGAUUUAUUGGGCGUAAAGCGAGCGCAGGCGGUUUGAUAAGUCUGAAGUUAAAGGCUGUGGCUCAACCGUAGUUCGCUUUGGAAACUGUCAAACUUGAGUGCAGAAGGGGAGAGUGGAAUUCCAUGUGUAGCGGUGGAAUGCGUAGAUAUAAGGAGGAACACCGGUGGCGAAAGCGGCUCUCUGGUCUGUAACUGACGCUGAGGCUCGAAAGCGUGGGGAGCGAACAGGAUUAGAUACCCUGGUAGUCCACGCCGUAAACGAUGAGUGCUAGGUGUUGGAUCCUUUCCGGGAUUCAGUGCCGCAGCUAACGCAUUAAGCACUCCGCCUGGGGAGUACGACCGCAAGGUUGAAACUCAAAGGAAUUGACGGGGGCCCGCACAAGCGGUGGAGCAU